ACUCCUACGGGAGGCAGCAGUGGGAAUUUUGGACAAUGGGCGAAAGCCUGAUCCAGCCAUGCCGCGUGAGUGAAGAAGGCCUUCGGGUUGUAAAGCUCUUUCAGGUGAGAAGAAAUGGCGCUGUCUAAUACAUGGCGUCGAUGACGGUACCACCAGAAGAAGCACCGGCUAACUACGUGCCAGCAGCCGCGGUAAUACGUAGGGUGCGAGCGUUAAUCGGAAUUACUGGGCGUAAAGCGUGCGCAGGCGGUUGUGUAAGACAGGUGUGAAAUCCCGGCUAGCUAGGCAGCACGCUUGUGACUGCACGGCUAGAGUACGGUAGAGGGGG
rnacentral:rRNA from 1 species